GAUGAACGCUGGCGGCGUGCCUAAUACAUGCAAGUCGAGCGAACGGACGAGAAGCUUGCUUCUCUGAUGUUAGCGGCGGACGGGUGAGUAACACGUGGAUAACCUACCUAUAAGACUGGGAUAACUUCGGGAAACCGGAGCUAAUACCGGAUAAUAUUUUGAACCGCAUGGUUCAAAAGUGAAAGACGGUCUUGCUGUCACUUAUAGAUGGAUCCGCGCUGCAUUAGCUAGUUGGUAAGGUAACGGCUUACCAAGGCAACGAUGCAUAGCCGACCUGAGAGGGUGGUCGGCCACCCUGGAGCUGAGACACGGUCCAGACUCCUGCGGGAGGCCGCAGUAGGGAAUCUUCCGCAAUGGGCGAAAGCCUGACGGAGCAACGCCGCGUGAGUGAUGAAGGUCUUCGGAUCGUAAAACUCUGUUAUUAGGGAAGAACAUAUGUGUAAGUAACUGUGCACAUCUUGACGGUACCUAAUCAGAAAGCCCCGGCUAACUACGUG
rnacentral:rRNA from 1 species